rnacentral:tRNA from 1 species
GGGCCGUUAGCUCAGCUAGGCAGAGCAGGGGCCUUUUAAGCCUUUGGUCGCAGGUUCGAUUCCUGCACGGCCCA